UACAGAGGGGGCAAGCGUUAUUCGGAAUUAUUGGGCGUAAAGGGCGCGUAGGCGGUUUUUUAAGUCAGAUGUGUAAUCCCCGAGCUCAACUUGGGAACUGCAUCUGAGACUGGAAGGCUAGAGUACUGGAGAGGGUGGUAGAAUUCCACGUGUAGCGGUGAAAUGCGUAGAGAUGUGGAGGAAUACCAGUGGCGAAGGCGGCCACCUGGACAGUAACUGACGCUGAGGCGCGAAAGUGUGGGUAGCAAACAGG
rnacentral:rRNA from 1 species